rnacentral:misc_RNA from 1 species
GAUGAAGAACGUAGUGAAAUGCGAUAAGUAGUGUGAAUUGCAGAAUUCAGUGAAUCAUCGAAUCUUUGAACGCACAUUGCGCCCCUUGGUAUUCCAUGGGGCAUGCCUGUUCGAGCGUCAUUUGUACCUUCAAGCUUUGCUUGGUGUUGGGUGUUUGUCCUGAGGGACUCGCCUUAAAGUAAUUGGCAGCCAGUGUUUGGUUUUGAAGCGCAGCACAAGUCGCGAUUCAAAGCUAUACGCCCGCUUCCACAAGCCUUUUUCACUUUUGACCUCGGAUCAGGUAGGGAUACCCGCUGAACUUAAGCAUAUCAAUAAGCGGAGA